CCAAUUAUCGAUAGCUUCUGUGCUAUCGACAGUGGCCCAUCUCUAUUGCAGACAGUGCCGGUGAGCAAAUUGGUUAAAUUGAAUUGUAAAUAUUAGCCUCAAGAUGACCACGUUGCGACCCUUUACCUGCGACGACCUCUUCAAAUUCAACAAUGUAAACUUUGACCCACUUACGGAAACCUACGGCCUGUCUUUCUACACGCAGUACUUGGCCAAGUGGCCGGAGUACUUCCAACUGGCGGAGUCACCCAGCGGGCACAUAAUGGGCUACAUCAUGGGCAAAGUGGAGGGUCACCUGGACAACUGGCACGGCCACGUUACGGCGCUGACCGUCUCGCCCGACUACCGGCGACUGGGACUGGCCGCACUGCUUAUGAGCUUCCUGGAGGACAUUUCAGAGAAGAAGCGGGCCUAUUUCGUAGAUCUUUUCGUGCGGAAGAGCAACCAGGUGGCCAUAAACAUGUACACCAAUCUCGGCUACAUUAUAUACCGCACCAUACUCGAGUACUACUCCGGCGACCAGGAUGAGGAUGCAUACGACAUGAGAAAGGCCUUGUCGAGGGACGUGAACAAGAAGUCGGUCAUACCGUACACGCAGCCUGUACGACUGGAAGAUAUAGAUAUGAAUUGAUACGAUAUCAAACCCAGUAGCGCCCGCAAUCGCAUUUAUGUCUAACUGAUCCCGAUCCCGAAUCCCAACCCGUAACCAAAAUUUUGAACGGGGGCGAACGCAUCACUUCGCCGCCCACUGAUUUCUAGUUAAAUUAGAUGUGUAAAUAAUCCGCAGUCAUCCCGGUGAUAACAUGCCGCCAUUCUACUCUAACCGGUGUCCUGCUUGCGAACCAAACCCCCCGACAUCCCGGCAACAUUUACAUGCAUAUCCCGCCCACGAAAGCAAAUCUGUAAUAGUAAUAGUUUGUCUGACCCUCGUUACGAAUUUGAGCUCGAACUUUCUAAAAUUCUAUUGACUUUGAAAUUAUUUAAAGAUUUCUUAAGCCGAUGCGUAAAUAACUGUAUUUCAAAGAUUGUUCCACAGUUCUGAAGAUAACAAUGCGAGAGCUGCGCAGGCAAAUGCGAAACGAUCACUAAGUGGGACUAUUUGCGGCAGACAAACCCAGAAGUAUUUACUCUGUCGACCUGCCGAUUUCCAAUUACUAUUGAUUUAUGCUACGUAGACACCCCUUUUAUCAAACUAUUUCAAUUAAAUCAAUGUGCGUAUAAAGA